rnacentral:lncRNA from 1 species
GGAAAUAGAAAUUGAAUCUCACCGACUCAGUUUGCCAUACCCAGAUUUCUCUUCUUUCCCUUCCCCGAGAAGACAGAAACUUCCCUUGACUGUGAAGGGGAAGGUCACUUAGAUCCCUUUUGAUGGGGAACCCCUCCGCAGUAGAGGAUUAGGCAGAGGAGAAUGGCCGCAUGACCUCUCAGAAGGUCUAAAUUCAGCCCAGCAAAAAUUCUGAUUAACUCCCAUUGAAGGCGAUACAUUUGUAUCUUUACCCCUUUAAAUGAAGUUGACAUUGUGGGAUUUUUGAUCAUCAGAAUGCAGCAGAAGUAACAUUAUGAUAUUUCUAAGUCUUUGCCUCAGAAGACCUCACAGCUUCUGCUUUUAUUGGAACCUGAGACUACAAUGAAAAACCAUGUAGAGAGAGAUCCAGCUGUCCCACGUCUUCUAGCCAUUCCAGCUGGGGCUCAUCCAUGAACAUGGAUGAAUCUGGAGAACAUCAUUCUCAGCAAACUGACACAAGAACAGAAAAUGAAAUCCUGCAUAUUCUCACUCAUAGGCGGGUGAUGAAAAAUGAGAACACAUGGACACAGCUAAUAUAUUCACCCAGUAGCAUCCGGGCAUGGAAUUGUUGUUUGGGAAAACAACUGGGACUGUUUUCCUACUCUGAGAAGAUGUUUUGGAGCAGAUGCCCCUAACAUUCCCAGAAUCCUCAGAGAAGCAAGUCAAACUCUCUACCCCUUGUGUCGAUCAGGGAUCCAAGUAGCAUCAAUAUGAUCCAAGGUAAUUGAACCAGCAGUGAACUCUUUUUGCAAAUCUUCUGCGUUUAAUCUUAAUCUUACAUUUGUCUACUCUUUGAUUUUGUAAUAAUCUGUAGAAAUACAGUUAUGAUAGAAUAAUGAGUAGAGAGUGACAAUCCUGAAUCAUAGUCAAUUCAUUGUUUAACUGAAACAGUCACUGACUCCUACAACAUCAAUUUGGUUGAAAUAUCGGAGGAUUUAACUUGUUCCUGGGGGUUAUUGAAAUAGCCAAGUCAUGACCUCUCUGAGAGAAUUAUUUCUGUCAGUGUAAAAAUAGAUUCCAAUAAACUGAGCAGUGAUCUGCUUGCUUAUUUGGCCAUUGUCUCCUCUUAUAUCUAAAUUAAAAUGUAAUAAUAGGAAAGUUGUUUAGGUGUGCACAUAGACAAAGCCUGAAUGUAUCUGCUACAGACAUGUGUAUUUUUUUCAGUUUUUAUAAAUCAUCAAUCAAUUAACUGGCAAACGUCUCUACAGACCUACAAUUUCACCAGCUUACCAACCAUUUACCAUGAGAGAUACAGGAGGAGACAGAGACAGACAGAAACAGAGAUUUUACCCAAGUAGUGAUGCCUCACAUGCGUACAAAGAAAGAAAUGUUUCAUUUAGCAAGGCCCAUUUAAAAACAUGAAGUGUGCAUUAUACUGUUUUUUGUAGAAAGUAUUGA